rnacentral:rRNA from 1 species
GUAGGUGGCAAGCGUUAUCCGGAAUUAUUGGGCGUAAAGCGCUCGCAGGCGGUCUUUUUAAGUCUGAUGUGAAAGCCCACGGCUCAACCGUGGAGGGUCAUUGGAAACUGGGAGACUUGAGUGCAGAAGAGGAGAGUGGAAUUCCACGUGUAGCGGUGAAAUGCGUAGAGAUGUGGAGGAACACCAGUGGCGAAGGCGACUCUCUGGUCUGUAACUGACGCUGAGGAGCGAAAGCGUGGGGGGAGCGAACAGGAUUAGAUACCCUGGUAGUCCACGCCGUAAACGAUGGUGCUAAGUGUUAGGGGGUUUCCCGCCCUUUAGUGCUGCAGCAAACCGCAUUAAGCACUCCGCCUGGGAGUACGGUCGCAAGACUG